UACGGGGGGGAGCAAGCGUUGUUCGGAUUUACUGGGCGUAAAGGGCGCGUAGGCGGCGCAACAAGUCACUUGUGAAAUCUCCGGGCUUAACCCGGAGCGGUCAAGUGAUACUGUCGUGCUAGAGUGCGGAAGGGGCUACUGGAAUUCUCGGUGUAGCGGUGAAAUGCGUAGAUAUCGAGAGGAACACCUGCGGCGAAGGCGGGUAGCUGGGCCGACACUGACGCUGAUGCGCGAAAGCGUGGGGGAGCAAACAGG
rnacentral:rRNA from 1 species